AACGAACGCUGGCGGCAUGCCUAACACAUGCAAGUCGAACGAGACCUUCGGGUCUAGUGGCGCACGGGUGCGUAACGCGUGGGAACCUGCCCUUAGGUUCGGAAUAACUCCCCGAAAGGGGUGCUAAUACCGGAUAAUGUCUUCGGACCAAAGAUUUAUCGCCUUUGGAUGGGCCCGCGUUGGAUUAGCUAGUUGGUAGGGUAAAAGCCUACCAAGGCGACGAUCCAUAGCUGGUCUGAGAGGAUGAUCAGCCACACUGGGACUGAGACACGGCCCAGACUCCUACGGGAGGCAGCAGUAGGGAAUAUUGGACAAUGGGCGAAAGCCUGAUCCAGCAAUGCCGCGUGAGUGAUGAAGGCCUUAGGGUUGUAAAGCUCUUUUACCCGGGACGAUAAUGACAGUACCGGGAGAAUAAGCUCCGGCUAACUCCGUG
rnacentral:rRNA from 1 species